CCUGAAAUGACUUGUUAAUCCGCGCGGACACCACCGAAGGGACUCACCGGAGUGGAAUCCAAGUGGAAUUUGGAUUUGGAGAAGAGUUUCUUGAACAUUUACUCCUUCCUUGUUGGGUUUUUUUUUUUUUUCUUUUCUUUUCUUUCUUUUUUUCCCUCUCCCCUUCUGCGCCUGUCACUGGAGAUGAACACAGCGCGUUUGCUUCCCAGAAAGUAGUCGCCGCGACUGUUACCCCCAAAGAGAGGAGCACACAUGUAGGAAUGACAAAGGCUUGCAAAGGAGAGAGCGCAGCUUGCGGCCCGGAGAGAUCUCCUCGAUAAUGGAUUACUAAAUGGGAUACACGCUGUACCAGCCCGCUCCGAGCCCCGGCCGCCUGCCCGUCGAUGCACCGAAAAGGACACCAAUGCCUUGGAGGCUGUAUUUUGGUGGAACAUUUCCAGACAGCAGUGACUUGAACAUGCUUCCGUUAUCUUUGCCAUGCAAACCAUACUAGGUUCUUCUGUGAAAAAUGUGAUUCUGUAUCAUUUGCAAAAUGGUCAUGCAAAGGAAGAAGUAUCACUUGAGGGACAACUGAAAUUUAUAAGUGAGACAGAGCACUUCUAAUCUUUGGGGGAACCACUUUUCAUUUUAAAGGAAUUUCCUUAUCAAAACUGAUAGUUACUGGCUCCUAGGGGGACCCGAGGCCCUUUCUCCCCAAGAUUGAAUGGGACUUCAAGUUCUUUCAAAUGAAAGAACUGGGGGCCGUGGGCCAAGUGAGAUUUCCUUCGCCCCAAAGUACCUGUUACCACGUGCUGAAUGUAAUGACUAGGGAAUACUGUAAGCACGGGAGAGAAAUAGGUCCUACUUUUGGUUAAAAGUACUUUUUCCUGUGUCAUGAGUUCUAUAACAGAUAUCAAGAAGCUGAAUUACCGUGUUAAUGCAACUUUUAACGAGAGGGUCUAAUAAAAGUUAGAUACCAUAUAUUAAUUAUAUUGUAAAUUUCUUAUUAAUUAAAUUUCUGUGUGAAAAAUCAUUCUGUAGCUUAUAUGAAAUUCUAAUAGCAUAUAGCCCAUCUACUUUACCAUAAUUUGUGCUUAUGAAUUAUAAAUGCUUAACUUUUACAGCUAAGCUUACCAAUCUAUAAGCAUCAUAAUGAGAUAUUACCUAAGUUAAAUUGAUCUGUCAUAUUUGCUGUUCUAGGGUAGUGAUUAUCUAAGAUAAUUUUCAAGAUGGCUGUCCUGUUACAUGCAACCAUGUUGUAUGCAACAUGGUUUACUUUUAGUGGAAAUAAAAUCAACCCAAGAUCCCAUGCUUGCCCAGCCAAGGGGGAUGCUGAUGGUAUCAAAAGUAGAAAGAACAGAGUAGUUUCCUGUGUAGCCAAGAAAAAAAGGUAACAAACAUCCAUUGGAGACUUUUCUCUUUAAAGGGAUGUACAGAGUACAGGGAAAGGUUUUCUAUUCAAAAGUCAACUUUUAUCUACAAGGUGUUUCCUCUUAUUUGUGGCAAAGGGAAGUUCACCAUGUUGAAUAUGCUGAUUAAUUAAUUCUCGUGGGAUAUCUUGGAGGGUGGAGCUUUUGUUCCCAUAUUUUGUCAUGUCCAGAACAUAAGACCUGUUAAUAUUGCCCAAACACAUCCGCUCCUGAGAAUGAAAAGGACAACAUAAUUGCCUUUGCUGUUAGAAAACAGCCAUAGCCAGCUCCCCAGCAGCUCCUACAACUGCCAGGUGUGCAAGAGAAGGCUUUGAAAUGUUGUGAAUAGCUUGACAUUAUCACAGUGUCAUUGAAAUGCAAAUUCUUCUGAGCAGAACUUGAAAAGGUUUUAAAUGUAGGACUAGGACAAUAUGGGUUCUUGCUUGUUGUCGACCAUACCUAGUGGUAACUCAAGAGUGCUUCUUCUAUUAAAAGGAAUCGUAACUCA